AAUGAAGUGCCUGAAAAAAGGAUUAUUUUGAUAGAAUAAAUCAUGUAUUUAUUAUACUUUCAUUA
rnacentral:tRNA from 1 species